UACGAAGGGGGCUAGUGUUGCUCGGAAUUACUGGGCGUAAAGGGCGCGUAGGCGGAUAUCUAAGUCGGGGGUGAAAGCCCAGGGCUCAACCUCGGAAUUGCCUUCGAUACUGGAUAUCUUGAGUUCGGGAGAGGUGAGUGGAAUGACGAGUGUAGAGGUGAAAUUCGUAGAUAUUCGGCGGAACACCAGUGGCGAAGGCGUCUCCCUGGCCCGAUACUGACGCUGAGGCGCGAAAGCGCGGGUAGCAAACAGG
rnacentral:rRNA from 1 species